rnacentral:lncRNA from 1 species
AAAUGUUUCAGAGACAACCCAUAAUGCUAUGUUAAAAGAAAAUUUGCUUGUGAUAUGCAGCCCAGUGAUAAUUGAUCCAUUUUUAUCCUUUAACAUUUAUUAUUUAAGCUCAGGCUUUAAUAUUUAAAUCCAUAAACAUGGCUUAUUAUCUGAAUGCUAAAAAAAAAGACAUUAUUUAACAUCAGAACCUGACUCCUCACCAACUCCAUUACUAAUAUAUAGCCAAGACAAUUCUAAACAAAAAGAACAAAGUUGAAGGCAUGAUGCUACCUGACUUCAAACUAUACUACAAGGCUACAGUAACCAAAACAGCAUGGUAC